ACUCCUACGGGAGGCAGCAGUAGGGAAUAUUGGACAAUGGGCGAGAGCCUGAUCCAGCCAUGCCGCGUGCAGGAAGAAGGCCUUCUGGGUUGUAAACUGCUUUUGCCAGGGGAUAAAAAGUCCCUGCGGGGAAAAUUGAAGGUACCUGGUGAAUAAGCCACGGCUAACUACGUGCCAGCAGCCGCGGUAAUACGUAGGUGGCAAGCGUUGUCCGGAUUUAUUGGGUUUAAAGGGUGCGUAGGCGGUCUUAUAAGUCAGUGGUGAAAUACGGCAGCUCAACUGUCGAGGUGCCAUUGAUACUGUAGGACUUGAGUACAGACGAGGUAGGCGGAAUUGACGGUGUAGUGGUGAAAUGCUUAGAUAUCGUCAAGAACACCGAUAGCGAAGGCAGCUUACUAGGCUGUAACUGACGCUGAGGCACGAAAGUGUGGGGAUCAAACAGGAUUAGAUACCCUGGUAGUCCACACUGUAAACGAUGAUUACUCGAUGUUGGCGAUACACAGCCAGCGUCUUAGCGAAAGCGAUAAGUAAUCCACCUGGGGAGUACGCCGGCAACGGUGAAACUUAAAGGAAUUGACG
rnacentral:rRNA from 1 species